rnacentral:lncRNA from 1 species
AUGUUAAAAAAUAAAACUUAAAGGGGUCUAGUUCAAAAUGAUCUAUAAGUGAGGGGUUUUUUUAUUUUUUACCGACUAAUAAUUAGUGCUAGAGAUGUUAUUUUUAAAUUUUAGAAGGAUACUUAUGAAAUUGCCCCUUAAUUAUUUGGGGUCAAAAUAAUACCUAACCUUUUAAGGGUAAAUUAGUCAUUUUGUAACUCAACUUUUAUUUAACCAAAAUUUAACCAUGGUUACAGUAACAGUCGUUGGAAGGAAGGAAGGGUAUUUGUAAAAAUUGUUUGCAUUUGAAAGGGUAAAUAUGAUAUUUGAAGGAAGGAAGGGUAUUUGCAAAAAUUUUUUGCAUUUGAAAGGGUAUAUAUAUAUAUAUAUGAUAUUUUUACUUUG